rnacentral:lncRNA from 1 species
CACUGGGUGGGCUCUGAGGAGGUUCCUAUGAGGAAAAUAGGGACCUCAGCUUGCCGCCACCACCCACAGAGUAGGCUCAUAGAAUUUCAUCGCAGAAAAGAAUUCAUGACAUACCAAUGAGAAGCAGAAUUAAAUGUGUAUAUGCUCAAAGGAGAACAAUUCUGUGAGAUAUGCACUUCUACUAUCUGCAUUUCGAAGACACAGAAACUGAAGUGUGGAGAGAUGAAUCUGUUUGCCAGAGCAACUUGUUCCAAGGAGUUACUAAAACUGCAAACAGAGCUUUACAAAAAUGCAGAGGCAAAAG